AUACGGAGGGUGCAAGCGUUAUUCGGAAUCACUGGGCGUAAAGGACGCGUAGGCGGGUUGGCAAGUCAGAUGUGAAAUCAUACAGCUUAACUGUAGAACUGCAUUUGAAACUGCUAACCUAGAGUAUGGGAGGGGGAGAUGGAAUUAGUGGUGUAGGGGUAAAAUCCGUAGAUAUCACUAGGAAUACCGAAAGCGAAGGCGAUCUCCUGGAACAUAACUGACGCUAAGGCGUGAAAGCGUGGGGAGCAAACAGGAUUAGAAACCCCAGUAGUCC
rnacentral:rRNA from 1 species